rnacentral:lncRNA from 1 species
GCGCCGCGCUCCUGCUUCUCUCCCGGCGGAGGGAAACAAUGCAGCGGCUCACGCCGUGCCAGCCGGCUUCUCACAGCUUCCCGGGCUGCGGCGCCGACCGCGCCCAGGGAAAGGCCGGAGUCGCCCUCUCCGCUCGCUCCGCGCCGGGCAGUCCCGGCUUUCUUGGAAAGCAGAAAAGCGUUAAAGGCUUGAGUUUUAAUUGGCAAAGAAGAUGCCGAAGGACGGGGGAUUAAACCCAGGGCUGCAUUAAGCUGUAUCUCCCAGCCCAUCAGCCCAUCUCUUGAGCUCUUAUCAUCAGCGUGUGAAGAAUACCAUGGAGCAUUAGACCUCGCAAAGGUGACAGGCAUCCAAAAUUCUCUGCAUGGAUUCAAAGACAUAGGGUCAGAUCAUCAGUAGGUACCAAAAUAAACGUUGUUUUCUUUUUCUUCUAAGGACAAAACAAAAUGAAAAUCAUGUAGAUUAGUAUCAAACUUGUUUCCCAAAAAUUAAUCUCAUAUUUGUCAAGAAAUAAUUGAAUUAAUAUGACAGAUGCUGCUUCACAGGGAACUUCCCCACCUAAGAGGAAG